rnacentral:misc_RNA from 1 species
UGAACGAGGUGCAUCAUGGUCGUUGUGCUGAGGCUCGGACUGGUCGCAGGCUUGAUCUACCUGCUGGUACUCAUCGGGGUGGCGUUGUCCAUCGGCUCGGCAGCCGAUGCGACCAGCGAGAUCCGGGAAGGCCGCUGUCCGAACAACAUCAGGGUCACGCUGCUGCCCGGCCGCUGGCUGGUCUUCCACCUGGAGAAGGUCGGUGAGGUCCAUGUCGUCGGCCCCUUCAAGCACAUACCGAAGAAGGAGGGCUCGUACACGGGCUACUUCCCCCCGUAUCCGUCACACCGCCCGCCAUACGCGCCGGAUAGGGACCCGAAGAUACGCCACGUCGGCUAUCCGCGUGAAUUCCCAAUCGACCAGGCAAUCUGGUGGGAUGGCAAGCCGGGAGAGACGUUCACUGUCGACCUCGGCUGCGAGCCCGGAGCGGCGUUCCCGCUACCCGACGGCUGGGAGCAGGGCGUCCCGGAGCCCGUCGUGUUCAGGAUCGGGUACCGCGCCAGCGUGCUUGGCGACCGUUGGGAGUCUGUUUCGGCCACCGAGGUGCUCGUCCAUGAGGACCUGCGGCUUGAGGUUCUCG